CCCUUUUUCCCAAUUCCCUUUCCGUCAAAGGCAGGCCUCAUCGGCAAUUCACCAACGGCCUAUAUCUUCUCCUUUCUCCCUUCGCCCCUUACAUUUUCUUAUCUCUUUCUGGUUGAAAUUUGUGGGUCAUUUACCUCUUUUGACUUGUUCUUUUGUAGGUUUUAUAAAGUGGAGAUCUGAAAGAGACGAAUUGUAUAAUAUGAUUGUUGCAGUGGAUCAUACUUCUGUGGAUGUGAAGCUUAGUGAUGCAAAUACUGAGCUUGCUUUACCCCGGGAAGAAAGAAGAUAAUGUGGUGAACCAACUCGAAUCAACAAAUGUUUAGUGCUUUUUUAUGUUUAUAUGAUACGGAAUUAUUUUUGAUCUUUUUAGAUUUGAAGUUGUAACAUUUAAGUUAUCAUAUACGAGUUUGUAUUACUUAAGUUUGACAUGAAUUUAAAUUUGUGUUGCUUCUUACUAUGAAUUUAUUUAAUGAAACCUGAUUUACAUUA